rnacentral:rRNA from 1 species
UAGGGAAUAUUGGACAAUGGGCGCAAGCCUGAUCCAGCCAUGCCGCGUGCAGGAUGAAGGCCUUCGGGUUGUAAACUGCUUUUGUACGGAACGAAAAGGUGCCUUCUAAUAAAGGGCGCUCAUGACGGUACCGUAAGAAUAAGCACCGGCUAACUACGUGCCAGCAGCCGCGGUAAUACGUAGGGUGCGAGCGUUAAUCGGAAUUACUGGGCGUAAAGCGUGCGCAGGCGGUUUUGUAAGACAGAGGUGAAAUCCCCGGGCUCAACCGGGGAACUGCCUUUGUGACUGCAAGGCUGGAGUGCGGCAGAGGGGGAUGGAAUUCCGCGUGUAGCAGUGAAAUGCGUAGAUAUGCGGAGGAACACCGAUGGCGAAGGCAAUCCCCUGGGCCUGCACUGACGCUCAUGCACGAAAGCGUGGGGAGCAAACA